rnacentral:rRNA from 1 species
GGGUUGUGAGGUUAAGCGACUAAGCGUACACGGUGGAUGCCCUGGCAGUCAGAGGCGAUGAAGGACGUGCUAAUCUGCGAUAAGCGUCGGUGAGGUGAUAUGAACCGUUAUAACCGGCGAUUUCCGAAUGGGGAAACCCAGUGUGUUUCGACACACUAUCAUUAACUGAAUCCAUAGGUUAAUGAGGCGAACCGGGGGAACUGAAACAUCUAAGUACCCCGAGGAAAAGAAAUCAACCGAGAUUCCCCCAGUAGCGGCGAGCGAACGGGGAGGAGCCCAGAGCCUGAAUCAGUGUGUGUGUUAGUGGAAGCGUCUGGAAAGGCGCGCGAUACAGGGUGACAGCCCCGUACACAAAAAAAAAUGCACAUAUUGUGAGCUCGAUGAGUAGGGCGGGACACGUGGUAUCCUGUCUGAAUAUGGGGGGACCAUCCUCCAAGGCUAAAUACUCCUGACUGACCGAUAGUGAACCAGUACCGUGAGGGAAAGGCGAAAAGAACCCCGGCGAGGGGAGUGAAAAGAACCUGAAACCGUGUACGUACAAGCAGUGGGAGCCUCUUUAUGGGGUGACUGCGUACCUUUUGUAUAAUGGGUCAGCGACUUAUAUUCUGUAGCAAGGUUAACCGAAUAGGGGAGCCGAAGGGAAACCGAGUCUUAACUGGGCGUUAAGUUGCAGGGUAUAGACCCGAAACCCGGUGAUUCAGCCAUGGGCAGGUUGAAGGUUGGGUAACACUAACUGGAGGACCGAACCGACUAAUGUUGAAAAAAAUUAGCGGAUGACUUGUGGCUGGGGUGAAAGGCCAAUCAAACCGGGAGAUAGCUGGUUCUCCCCGAAAGCUAUUUAGGUAGCGCCUCGUGAAUUCAUCUCCGGGGGGUAGAGCACUGUUUCGGCAAGGGGUCAUCCCGACUUACCAACCCGAUGCAAACUGCGAAUACCGGAGAAUGUUAUCACGGGAGACACACGGCGGGUGCUAACGUCCGUCGUGAAGAGGGAAACAACCCAGACCGCCAGCUAAGGUCCCAAAGUCAUGGUUAAGUGGGAAACGAUGUGGGAAGGCCCAGACAGCCAGGAUGUUGGCUUAGAAGCAGCCAUCAUUUAAAGAAAGCGUAAUAGCUCACUGGUCGAGUCGGCCUGCGCGGAAGAUGUAACGGGGGGCUAAACCAUGCACCGAAGCUGCGGCAGCGACACUAUGUGUUGUUGGGUAGGGGAGCGUUCUGUAAGCCUGUGAAGGUGGCCUGUGAGGGUUGCUGGAGGUAUCAGAAGUGCGAAUGCUGACAUAAGUAACGAUAAAGCGGGUGAAAAGCCCGCUCGCCGGAAGACCAAGGGUUCCUGUCCAACGUUAAUCGGGGCAGGGUGAGUCGACCCCUAAGGCGAGGCCGAAAGGCGUAGUCGAUGGGAAACAGGUUAAUAUUCCUGUACUUGGUGUUACUGCGAAGGGGGGACGGAGAAGGCUAUGUUGGCCGGGCGACGGUUGUCCCGGUUUAAGCGUGUAGGCUGGUUUUUCGGGCAAAUCCGGAAAACCAAGGCUGAGGCGUGAUGACGAGGCACUACGGUGCUGAAGCGACAAAUGCCCUGCUUCGGGAAAAGCCUCUAAGCAUCAGGUAACAUCAAAUCGUACCCCAAACCGACACAGGUGGUCAGGUAGAGAAUACCAAGGCGCUUGAGAGAACUCGGGUGAAGGAACUAGGCAAAAUGGUGCCGUAACUUCGGGAGAAGGCACGCUGAUAUGUAGGUGAAGCGACUUGCUCGUGGAGCUGAAAUCAGUCGAAGAUACCAGCUGGCUGCAACUGUUUAUUAAAAAAACACAGCACUGUGCAAACACGAAAGUGGACGUAUACGGUGUGACGCCUGCCCGGUGCCGGAAGGUUAAUUGAUGGGGUUAGCGGUAACGCGAAGCUCUUGAUCGAAGCCCCGGUAAACGGCGGCCGUAACUAUAACGGUCCUAAGGUAGCGAAAUUCCUUGUCGGGUAAGUUCCGACCUGCACGAAUGGCGUAAUGAUGGCGGGCUGUCUCCACCCGAGACUCAGUGAAAUUGAACUCGCUGUGAAGAUGCAGUGUACCCGCGGCAAGACGGAAAGACCCCGUGAACCUUUACUAUAGCUUGACACUGAACAUUGAGCCUUGAUGUGUAGGAUAGGUGGGAGGCUUUGAAGUGUGGACGCCAGUCUGCAUGGAGCCGACCUUGAAAUACCACCCUUUAAUGUUUGAUGUUCUAACGUUGGCCCGUAAUCCGGGUUGCGGACAGUGUCUGGUGGGUAGUUUGACUGGGGCGGUGCUCCUCCUAAAGAGUAACGGAGGAGCACGAAGGUUGGCUAAUCCUGGUCGGACAUCAGGAGGUUAGUGCAAUGGCAUAAGCCAGCUUGACUGCGAGCGUGACGGCGCGAGCAGGUGCGAAAGCAGGUCAUAGUGAUCCGGUGGUUCUGAAUGGAAGGGCCAUCGCUCAACGGAUAAAAGGUACUCCGGGGAUAACAGGCUGAUACCGCCCAAGAGUUCAUAUCGACGGCGGUGUUUGGCACCUCGAUGUCGGCUCAUCACAUCCUGGGGCUGAAGUAGGUCCCAAGGGUAUGGCUGUUCGCCAUUUAAAGUGGUACGCGAGCUGGGUUUAGAACGUCGUGAGACAGUUCGGUCCCCUAUCUGCCGUGGGCGCUGGAGAACUGAGGGGGGGCUGCUCCUAGUACGAGAGGACCGGAGUGGACGCAUCACUGGUGUUCGGGUUGUCAUGCCAAUGGCACUGCCCGGUAGCUAAAUGCGGAAGAGAUAAGUGCUGAAAGCAUCUAAGCACGAAACUUGCCCCGAGAUGAGUUCUCCCUGAGACUUAGAGUCUCCUGAAGGAACGUUGAAGACGACGACGUUGAUAGGCCGGGUGUGUAAGCGCAGCGAUGCGUUGAGCUAACCGGUACUAAUGAACCGUGAGGCUUAACCUUACAACGCCGAAG